GGCGGCGGCACCGGUCAGGGGCGCCGGCAGAUGGCAGGGGGGUGGCGGAGGUCAGGAGCGGCGGAGGAUGUCAGGGAUGGCGGAAUGUAGGGGAGGCGGCGGCGUAGGCGAGAUCCAGCCGGUGGAAGGUCCGACGGCGGCGAGAUCCAGCCGGUGGAAGUCCGGCCGGUAGAGAUGGCAGGGGAGAAGGUGUGGCCGGGACUUGGUGCGCCGGGAGAGGGGUGGCGGAUGGAGGGAAGGAGGCGGCGGCGGAGGCGAGAUCCAGCCCCUGGAAGGUCCGGCGGCGGCGAGAUCCAGCCGGUGGAAGGUCCGACCGGGAGAGAUGGCAGGGGAGAAGGUGCGGCCGGGACUUGGUGCGCCGGGAGAGGGGUGGCGGAUGGAGGGAAGGAGGCGGCGGCGGAGGCGAGAUCUAGCCCCUGGAAGGUCCGGCGGCGGCGAGAUCCAGCCGGUGGAAGGUCCGGCCGGGAGAGAUGGCAGGGGAGAAGGUGCGGCCGGGACUUGGUGCGCCGGGAGAGGGGUGGCGGAUGGGGGGAAGGAGGCGGCGGCGGAGGCGAGAUCCAGCCCCUGGAAGGUCCGGCGGCGGCGAGAUCCAGCCGGUGGAAGGUCCGGCCGGGAGAGAUGGCAGGGGAGAAGGUGCGGCCGGGAGAUGGUGCACUGGGAGAGGG
rnacentral:lncRNA from 1 species